AGUGAACGCUGGCGGUAGGCCUAACACAUGCAAGUCGAACGGCAGCACAGUAAGAGCUUGCUCUUACGGGUGGCGAGUGGCGGACGGGUGAGGAAUACAUCGGAAUCUACUUUUUCGUGGGGGAUAACGUAGGGAAACUUACGCUAAUACCGCACACGACCUACGGGUGAAAGCAGGGGAUCUUCGGACCUUGCGCGAUUGAAUGAGCCGAUGUCGGAUUAGCUAGUUGGCGGGGUAAAGGCCCACCAAGGCGACGAUCCGUAGCUGGUCUGAGAGGGUGAUCAGCCACACUGGAACUGAGACACGGUCCCGACUCCUACGGGAGGCAGCAGUGGGGAAUAUUGGACAAUGGGCGCAAGCCUGAUCCAGCCAUACCGCGUGGGUGAAGAAGGCCUUCGGGUUGUAAAGCCCUUUUGUUGGGAAAGAAAAGCAGCAGGUUAAUACCCCGCUGUUCUGACGGUACCCAAAGAAUAAGCACCGGCUAACUUCGUG
rnacentral:rRNA from 1 species